rnacentral:rRNA from 1 species
AUACGUAGGGAGCAAGCGUUAUCCGGAUUUAUUGGGUGUAAAGGGUGCGUAGACGGGAAUGCAAGUUAGUUGUGAAAUCCCUCGGCUUAACUGAGGAACUGCAACUAAAACUAUAUUUCUUGAGUGCUGGAGAGGAAAGUGGAAUUCCUAGUGUAGCGGUGAAAUGCGUAGAUAUUAGGAGGAACACCGGUGGCGAAGGCGACUUUCUGGACAGUAACUGACGUUGAGGCACGAAAGUGUGGGGAGCAAACAGGAUUAGAUACCCUGGUAGUCCACACCGUAAACGAUGGAUACUAGGUGUAGGGGGUGAUAAAUCCUCUGUGCCGUCGCAAACGCAGUAAGUAUCCCACCUGGGGAGUACGGCCGCAAGGUUGAA